CACAGAGAGCUUGCUCUCGGGUGACGAGUGGCGGACGGGUGAGUAAUGUCUGGGAAACUGCCUGAUGGAGGGGGAUAACUACUGGAAACGGUGGCUAAUACCGCAUAACGUCGCAAGACCAAAGAGGGGGACCUUCGGGCCUCUUGCCAUCAGAUGUGCCCAGAUGGGAUUAGCUAGUUGGUGAGGUAACGGCUCACCAAGGCGACGAUCCCUAGCUGGUCUGAGAGGAUGACCAGCCACACUGGAACUGAGACACGGUCCAGACUCCUACGGGAGGCAGCAGUGGGGAAUAUUGCACAAUGGGCGCAAGCCUGAUGCAGCCAUGCCGCGUGUAUGAAGAAGGCCUUCGGGUUGUAAAGUACUUUCAGCGGGGAGGAAGGUGUUGUGGUUAAUAACCGCAGCAAUUGACGUUACCCGCAGAAGAAGCACCGGCUAACUCCGUGCCAGCAGCCGCGGUAAUACGGAGGGUGCAAGCGUUAAUCGGAAUUACUGGGCGUAAAGCGCACGCAGGCGGUCUGUCAAGUCGGAUGUGAAAUCCCCGGGCUCAACCUGGGAACUGCAUUCGAAACUGGCAGGCUUGAGUCUUGUAGAGGGGGGUAGAAUUCCAGGUGUAGCGGUGAAAUGCGUAGAGAUCUGGAGGAAUACCGGUGGCGAAGGCGGCCCCCUGGACAAAGACUGACGCUCAGGUGCGAAAGCGUGGGGAGCAAACAGGAUUAGAUACCCUGGUAGUCCACGCCGUAAACGAUGUCUACUUGGAGGUUGUGCCCUUGAGGCGUGGCUUCCGGAGCUAACGCGUUAAGUAGACCGCCUGGGGAGUACGGCCGCAAGGUUAAAACUCAAAUGAAUUGACGGGGGCCCGCACAAGCGGUGGAGCAUGUGGUUUAAUUCGAUGCAACGCGAAGAACCUUACCUGGUCUUGACAUCCACAGAACUUUCCAGAGAUGGAUUGGUGCCUUCGGGAACUGUGAGACAGGUGCUGCAUGGCUGUCGUCAGCUCGUGUUGUGAAAUGUUGGGUUAAGUCCCGCAACGAGCGCAACCCUUAUCCUUUGUUGCCAGCGGUCCGGCCGGGAACUCAAAGGAGACUGCCAGUGAUAAACUGGAGGAAGGUGGGGAUGACGUCAAGUCAUCAUGGCCCUUACGACCAGGGCUACACACGUGCUACAAUGGCGCAUACAAAGAGAAGCGACCUCGCGAGAGCAAGCGGACCUCAUAAAGUGCGUCGUAGUCCGGAUUGGAGUCUGCAACUCGACUCCAUGAAGUCGGAAUCGCUAGUAAUCGUGGAUCAGAAUGCCACGGUGAAUACGUUCCCGGGCCUUGUACACACCGCCCGUCACACCAUGGGAGUGGGUUGCAAAAGAAGUAGGUAGCUUAACCUUCGGGAGGGCGCUUACCACUUUGUGAUUCAUGACUGGGGUGAAGUCGUAACAAGGUAACCGUAGGGGAACCUGCGGUUGGA
rnacentral:rRNA from 1 species